GAAUGCUGACAUAAGUAACGAUAAAGCGGGUGAAAAGCCCGCUCGCCGGAAGACCAAGGGUUCCUGUCCAACGUUAAUCGGGGCAGGGUGAGUCGACCCCUAAGGCGAGGCCGAAAGGCGUAGUCGAUGGGAAACAGGUUAAUAUUCCUGUACUUGGUGUUACUGCGAAGGGGGGACGGAGAAGGCUAUGUUGGCCGGGCGACGGUUGUCCCGGUUUAAGCGUGUAGGCUGAUUUUCCAGGCAAAUCCGGAAAAUCAAGGCUGAGGCGUGAUGACGAGGCACUACGGUGCUGAAGCAACAAAUGCCCUGCUUCCAGGAAAAGCCUCUAAGCAUCAGGUAACAUCAAAUCGUACCCCAAACCGACACAGGUGGUCAGGUAGAGAAUACCAAGGCGCUUGAGAGAACUCGGGUGAAGGAACUAGGCAAAAUGGUGCCGUAACUUCGGGAGAAGGCACGCUGAUAUGUAGGUGAAGCGACUUGCUCGUGGAGCUGAAAUCAGUCGAAGAUACCAGCUGGCUGCAACUGUUUAUUAAAAACACAGCACUGUGCAAACACGAAAGUGGACGUAUACGGUGUGACGCCUGCCCGGUGCCGGAAGGUUAAUUGAUGGGGUUAGCGGUAACGCGAAGCUCUUGAUCGAAGCCCCGGUAAACGGCGGCCGUAACUAUAACGGUCCUAAGGUAGCGAAAUUCCUUGUCGGGUAAGUUCCGACCUGCACGAAUGGCGUAAUGAUGGCCAGGCUGUCUCCACCCGAGACUCAGUGAAAUUGAACUCGCUGUGAAGAUGCAGUGUACCCGCGGCAAGACGGAAAGACCCCGUGAACCUUUACUAUAGCUUGACACUGAACAUUGAGCCUUGAUGUGUAGGAUAGGUGGGAGGCUUUGAAGUGUGGACGCCAGUCUGCAUGGAGCCGACCUUGAAAUACCACCCUUUAAUGUUUGAUGUUCUAACGUUGGCCCGUUAUCCGGGUUGCGGACAGUGUCUGGUGGGUAGUUUGACUGGGGCGGUCUCCUCCUAAAGAGUAACGGAGGAGCACGAAGGUUGGCUAAUCCUGGUCGGACAUCAGGAGGUUAGUGCAAUGGCAUAAGCCAGCUUGACUGCGAGCGUGACGGCGCGAGCAGGUGCGAAAGCAGGUCAUAGUGAUCCGGUGGUUCUGAAUGGAAGGGCCAUCGCUCAACGGAUAAAAGGUACUCCGGGGAUAACAGGCUGAUACCGCCCAAGAGUUCAUAUCGACGGCGGUGUUUGGCACCUCGAUGUCGGCUCAUCACAUCCUGGGGCUGAAGUAGGUCCCAAGGGUAUGGCUGUUCGCCAUUUAAAGUGGUACGCGAGCUGGGUUUAGAACGUCGUGAGACAGUUCGGUCCCUAUCUGCCGUGGGCGCUGGAGAACUGAGGGGGGCUGCUCCUAGUACGAGAGGACCGGAGUGGACGCAUCACUGGUGUUCGGGUUGUCAUGCCAAUGGCACUGCCCGGUAGCUAAAUGCGGAAGAGAUAAGUGCUGAAAGCAUCUAAGCACGAAACUUGCCCCGAGAUGAGUUCUCCCUGACUCCUUGAGAGUCCUGAAG
rnacentral:rRNA from 1 species